UACAGAGGUCCCAAGCGUUGUUCGGAUUUACUGGGCGUAAAGGGUGCGUAGGCGGCGGAGUAAGUUGGGUGUGAAAUCCCGGGGCUCAACCUCGGAAUUGCAUUCAAUACUGCUUCGCUCGAGUACUGGAGAGGAGGCUGGAAUUUACGGUGUAGCAGUGAAAUGCGUAGAUAUCGUAAGGAAGGCCGGUGGCGAAAGCGAGCCUCUGGACAGUUACUGACGCUGAUGCACGAAGGCCAGGGGAGCAAACGGG
rnacentral:rRNA from 1 species